AUGACCGAAAGAUCUGGAGCAAGAAGGAAAGGGAGCCAAGGACCUGGGCCAUCCUCAAACUAGAUCAUUAGCUCCGGGGUAAUUAAGAAUAAUUGACUGUAUGUGUGACUCUAUCCAGAAAGGCCAGAAAGAGAUGAAAGGUAUAGGAAAUGAUGCGUAAGUAACAGGAUUUACGGGACUCUUAUUGUCAUGCACUCAACAAGCAUUAUUGAGCACCUACUGCAUGCCAGGGAUUGCGUUGUUCUCAACACAGAGGACACAUCCAGCAUUGAACAAUGCAGGCAAAGAUGCUACUAUCGCUGACAUGACCUUCUUGAAUGGCGAAGACAGACAAUAAACAAGAACAUAAAUAUUCAAGGAUCCCUGAUUUAUUGCCUCUACAAUGGGCGUUGCUGAUCACCUUGCCAGGGGUGCUCUGAGGAAUAACAGGUGGAGUCCCCUUGAAACUG